UAAAAAGAGUUGACCAGGAAAUAAAACGCUCGACUCUUUGUUCUAUUAGGAAAAGAUUAUAUCUUUAUAUAUAUAGAUCAGUUUUACUUAAGAUUAUUGGUUUGCAUCGCCAAUUGCGAAGUUUAAGAUUAUUUCAGCCAUUGAGUGCUAUUAGGAAAAAAAGACUGAUGGGGUCAUUGGAGGAGUCAGAUUGGGCAUGGCUUCCGAAGAACUUAUUGGAUAUGAUUCUGGACAAUUUGGUUUCACUUUCUGAAUUUGUUCGAUUUGGUGCGGUUUGCAAACCAUGGCAGUCUGUGGCAAUGGAGAACAAACUUAAAUUUGUUCAAAAUAAGUUUUUCACACAAGUUCCAUUCUUGAUAGUGCCUUCGAAAGAUAAUAAAGACGAUGAACGACGCAGUCUAUACAUCAUUACUCAUAAUAAGCUAUGUGAUUUUCAGUUAUGGGUACCUUACAAAGAGAGGCUUUGUGGUUCCUUACAUGGUUGGCUGUUUGGUAUAGAAAAAUCCUCUAGCGUAACUCUAAUGAAUCCGUUCUCUGGCUCUACCAUAGAGCUUCCUCCAAUUGAUAGUGUGGUCUCAUUAAGCAAAAUUGAGAUUUCCUUUUAAGUUACAAAGGUUAUAUUGUCAGCUGACCCUGCUUCGUCUCCUAAUGACUAUAUUGUUGCCGCUAUCUAUGGUGGUGAUUCUAACCUGGCAUUUAUUCGGGCAGGAGAUGAAGCUUGGACUUGCAUGGAUAAAGAGAGAUUUAUGUUCUUCUGUGAUGUCAUAUAUUAUAAAGGCCGGAUUUUUGCAGUUGAUAGGGAUAUAGUCCUAAUGAUUGAUGUUAAUAGGACUGGGGCUCCGCAAGUGGAGGAAAAGGAAAUUGCGCCUCAAAUUAUUUAUUAUGAACACAUGUAUCUUGUCGAAUCAUCUAGUGGGGAAUUACUUCUUGUACAAAGGCUUUUAGAAAUUGUAGACGAUUCAUAGCAUGCAACUUCAGGGUUUAAGGUUUUCAAGAUGCUCUUAGACCAAUUUGAGAAGGGUUCGCAUAUGCUGGUUGAAGUGAAGAACUUGGGUGGAGACACCCUGUUUUUGGGCGAUAGUCAUUCCAUUUGUGUUUCAGCUUCCAAAUGGCCCGGAUGUGAACCUAAUUCCAUAUACUAUACAGAUGAUUAUAGUGACAUUAUAUUCUAUCCCCAAUCUGGGCGCCGUGACAUGGGUAUCUUCAACGUAGUGAAUGGAAGCUUUGGAACACAUUACAUCCUUGAUCCUUCACAUAAUGAUAUGCCGCCCUCAAUUUGGAUUGUCCCAACUGUGUUAGGAAGUUCAGUAUAGACUUAAUUUGUUUCGGAUGUCUUUUGGUCAAUCUAAUUUAUUUAGUUUUUUUUUUUUUUUUGCUUAUCAUUUUUAUGUGAUGAAAAAAAUCUGUUUUUAUCUCUUGCUGUAGCAAACGUGAGAUCACGUUUGUAAGACAUAAUUAAACAUUAUUUGUUGGUUUUUCUCAAAUUUUAUGGUAUUAUAAAUAUAUCUUAGUUACAAUUCAUUUUUUCUUAUAAGAAAGUUACUGUCUUUUUCCUUAUAAGAAAUUUAUUGUCUUUUUCCUUGGAAGAAAUUUACUGUAUAUUACUUGAAAUGAGGGUUGGAAAUAACAUCGCAUCAUAAUUCUUGAUGGUUAAAGUGUCCUUGUAAUGCAAUCCAGCUCUCAUCGAUUGUGCUCUCUGUAGUCCUUUGGCCAAGAAUUAAGACCAUAUUUUUUAUAUUUGAUUUGCUUGGUUGCGCCAAGUAGCCUUGCUUGAUUUCUUGUUACAUGGUAUGGCAAUUUCUCGAGGUUGCUUGUUUAUUAUUAAGUUUGGUCAAAUGUACUAAAGAAUUGAUUGACAUUCAUGAAGGAAGCCUAUGUAGUUUUUGAGUUUUUUAUUUUUUAUUUUUUAAAUUCCAUGGCAUUUCUUGAAUUUACCCUUGAGGGCUCGUUCAUAAUAAUGGAUCUGAGUUUGGUUGAAAGUAAAUCUAUUGCUGAUCAAUGUUUAGCUUUUUAUUGAGCGCUUGAUUAAUGAUUAGUCGUGUUCAACCGAUUCCCCCGGAUAAGUUUUUAUAUGUAGGGCUGUUAUAGUAGUUCUUUAAAGCAUGUGAAGAUUGCUUAGAUAUUCUUUAUUAAAAUGCUUUGCCAAAUUUUUAUACAAUAUCUCUAUUACCAAUGCAUUAGUUUGCUGGUUUAGAUGAUUAGUUCUAAUUUCGUGCUGACCUUAGUAUUUCUGAUAUCAUUCUGUUAAUGAUGAAAGCUACAGAGGCCAAAACCGAACAACUUGACUAUCCACCUUCCUUACACAUGUUUAGUAAUCAAAUUUUUUUUAUUUUAUUUCUUACACAUGUUUUCUCUUUCUUUAAAUUAGUCCCUCAUCCCUUGUAUGGCCUGGAUCUGCUAGUAACUCUUUUCUAAAAAUCUUUUAAUGCAUGAAAGAUGGUCUUGUGCAUGUGUGGUUGCUAGAUUGAGUAUUCCUGCGGUGAGAAUUUUCAUCCAGUGACGCGGCCUGCACUGUAAAUCUCUUAGAAUGUCUAUCUGAUUCUAUCUUCUCUCAUAUAUCACUCUUAUUUCUCUCUUGCUGCCAUUCUCUCUCUAGCUCUCUCUCUUCUCACACUUCAUAGCAAGAAUAGAAUUUUCAUUGAAAUACAUAGUCCCGUAACUGGAAAAUCAAUGUCAACUCUUUCUCUCUCUCUCUACAUAUGAACAUAUUAUACAUAUAUAAAUAUGUGUAUGAGAGUUGAUUUAUCAGCAUGUACCGAACUUUGUUUCUAUCUCUUUUGAAAAUAUAUUUGCCAUAUCUGUGCUGUUAAGGGCUAAAAUUGAUUAAUGCAUUUAGCCAAUUAUGAAGCAUAAGCAGCUAUUGGAGCUCGAAUAGGAAUCUAAAGUAGCUAUUGAAGCUGUUUGAUUGGGGCUCAACUGUUGAAGUUCUCAUCAAUGCAUGUGUUUGGUUUGGGCCGACUGAUUUCCUGCAGGCAAUAAGUUUCAACAGAGAAGACGAUCACGAUGAUGUCAUUUUUCAGUUCUUUUGAGUUCCUGUGUGCUGAAUAGUUAGACCAGAAGGUUGGCUUCUCUUGGGGUCCCUCUAAAGUGGAGAAGGACGCGUCUGCAGUGGAUCGAAAGAAGAAGGCUAUGAUUGAGAGUUUGAGAAGGAGCAAAGAAGGAAAUUCAUCUACCUAGGCUUUGCAAUCGCUGGUUAAGACGACGAACAGUCCAGAACGGCAAAGGAUGAGACCGAGGUUCGCACGGGAUCUGGAUGGCGUGCACUGUUUUGAAACAAUAAUCAUGGACUGAGCAGCCAAGUUACUCCAAGCCAGGAGAGAGAAACUGAAGCUAAGAAUUGAAUCCCUUGAUUCAACCGCUCUUUUAGAUUACAUAUUCAACAAUAACAUUUGGAUUAUCUGUUGCAUCAUGCGGAUUAUGUAUUCGCAAUCCAACUUUCUGAUCGCAUUUCAAAACUUGUGGCCGGUGAUCUGGUCCUCACUCUUUCUCUAUAUACUGGUUAGUUUCUUGUUUGAAGUUGUAUAUAUUUGUUCUUGAUAUUGGUCCGCAGAUUUUUAACAAUUAAUUUGAAUUUUUAUUUGGGUAUUAAUUAGGGUUAAUAUUGGUUUGUGAAAUGUGAGGAAUCAACUUUUGUUUUUGUUGUUCUGUGAACUUCAAUUUAUAUUUGGUUUCUUUAACUGUAUGGAUUUCAUUGUGGAACUGCAAGUAGGUUGCUUCUGUGAAGUGCUUCAUGCUUGUAGCUUGAUACAUAAAGCUCCUCUUCCUAAUUUUUGUCAGCCUUUUCUUUUGGUUUCCUUUAGCUUUAGUACUGAAACAUCCAUCCUAUAAUUUUAUUGGUGGUUGACUCGUGAACAAGACAAAAAUGAUAACGAUGAUGAUGGUGUUGUUGCAGGUGGUCUUCAAACUUGAGGGGCUAUAUGUUUGUGGUGCUGUAAAAAAUUAAACUGCGGCCUUAAGUUACUUAAUAUACAAAUACAUAAACAAAUAUACCUUUAUAUACGCUUAUUCCUCUUCUCUCGUUCCCUUUGUCUCUUUAAAAACUUUAUGUUCAUUGCAUUUUAGUAAUAAAAUUAGUACUUUAGUCCACUGCCCUUUACGGAGCAUCCAUGUUCUUAGGCUGCAGAUUACUUUCCUUCUAUAAGUCACUUAUUCUGCUUUAUAUGUUUGCUUGUGGCAGCUAAGAAUUGAAUCCCUUGAUUCAACCGCUCUUUUAGAUUACAUAUUCAACAAUAACAUUUGGAUUAUCUGUUGCAUCAUGCGGAUUAUGUAUUCGCAAUCCAACUUUCUGAUCGCAUUUCAAAACUUGUCGCCGGUGAGCUGGUCCUCACUCUUUCUCUAUAUACUGCUAAGAACUGAAUCCCUUGAUUCAACCGCUCUCUUGGAUUACAUAUUCAACAACAACAUUUGGAUUAUCUGCUGCAUCAUGCGGAUUAUGUAUUCUCAAUCCAACUUUCCGAUUGCAUUUCAAAACUCGUUGCCGGUGAUCUGGUCCUCGCUCUUUCUCUAUAUACUGGUUAAUUUCUUGUUUGAAGUUGUAUAUAGUUGUUCUUGAUAUUGGUCCGCAGAUUUUUAACAAUUAAUAUGAAUUUUUAUUUGGGUAUUAAUUAGGGCUUUUUUGGUUUGUGAAAUGUGAGGAAUCAACUUUUGUUUUUGAUGUUCUGUUAACUUCAAUUUAGAUGAUUAGCUACCAGAACUUUGGAAAAUUGAUUUAACUGCUCAAUUAACGAAAUCUUUGAUUCUGGGGCAUUGUCAGUUAGGAAUAUGUAUAAUAUACAGCUGUUAAAAAUUGGUAUUG